GACGAACGCUGGCGGCGUGCUUAACACAUGCAAGUCGAACGGAAAGGCCCUGCUUUUGUGGGGUGCUCGAGUGGCGAACGGGUGAGUAACACGUGAGUAACCUGCCCUUGACUUUGGGAUAACUUCAGGAAACUGGGGCUAAUACCGGAUAGGAGCUCCUGCUGCAUGGUGGGGGUUGGAAAGUUUCGGCGGUUGGGGAUGGACUCGCGGCUUAUCAGCUUGUUGGUGGGGUAGUGGCUUACCAAGGCUUUGACGGGUAGCCGGCCCGAGAGGGUGACCGGCCACAUUGGGACUGAGAUACGGCCCAGACUCCUACGGGAGGCAGAAGUGGGGAAUAUUGCACAAUGGGCGGAAGCCUGAUGCAGCAACGCCGCGUGCGGGAUGAAGGCCUUCGGGUUGUAAACCGCUUUCGCCUGUGACGAAGCGUGAGUGACGGUAAUGGGUAAAGAAGCACCGGCUAACUACGUG
rnacentral:rRNA from 1 species